CUAAACACACGCGCGCGGCACACCCUCCUUCCUCGAUCCCCUUCUUUCCCGAAAAACCCUAGGUCAAGCGCUACCGCCUCCCUCUUCCUCCCUCUCCCUGAUCCAGAUCCCUCCUCCGCCGCCCCUCCUCCCAUCCACCACCCUUCCAGUUCCAUUCAUCCCCGCAGCAGAUCGAGAGAGCCACCCAACCUCACCGUUGAUAGAUGCACCACCGCCUAGCAGCCAUGGCCGGAUGGCUCGCCGGUGUGCGCGUGCUUCUAUACACGCCGCUUCAUCGUUCCCUACCCUAGCAGUCGAUCCCAACUGCCGCUGCUUCACCGGCCUCCUCCAUCUCUCUACUGGCCACGAGUGACCACCCAAUUCCACUCUAGAUCCCCAAUGCCAAAGGCAGAGCCAGCCGCCGCCGGCCUCCGUUGUCUUCCCCAACCCCGGCCUUCACUCCACCGCUGGCGCCCUCUCCCCUCCUCCCCCUCUCCGUAGAUCCUCUCGAGCAACGUUGCCCAUGGCCAGAUCUUCUCCCUCCUUGCGCCGGAAACCCUAGAUGUCGGGGCACGGCCAUGGCGACCGACCGGGGGUGCAGGACUAGGACUCGGACAACGGUGGUAUGCUCCUUCUUCCUCCAGCACAAGAACGUACAAGAAGCAUCCAAGGACAGACCCGGCGGAAAACCCAUGGUGCCAUCUGCAGGACAAAUUGGCGUGCUAAUCUAUCGAGCUUUCCUUCUGAUUUCAUGUUCACUAUCUUAGGAGAACCUGGUGUGCUAUAUGGGGAAGCAAAGCAGCAGCCCACAACUCCGACUUGCGACUCCAGAUGAAGGGACCACGACGCACCAUGCUGCUCCCUUGGAAGGUCGGCUGAGCGAUGCGGCGGCGAAAGCAGUGAACGAGCUGCUGCCGUCGGGCGCCGCCGGCAACCUGAGCAGCCUCUGCUCCUGGGCCGACAAGGUCAGGUUCAGGUACUACUAGUCAGCGCCUCUCCACUUCAUCGACGUCCCCGAAAACGUCUGCAGCUACUACUACGACAGGUCCUACUAGGACGAGGAUGGCGUCAAGGGCCGCUGCGUCGCUGGCGCCAUCAACAAAUACACCUCCCAGCUCCUCACCUAGGGAUCAUCAUCAUCAUCGCCAUCACCAUCUUCUAAAUCUUUCAGCCAAGGUAAUGUUAAGUUACAUCAUACGAAUUUCAGCACAUCUCUUCUGGUUGACUGAAUUAGUACUGAAGAUGCCAUGUUUUUUCUGCAUGGAAUGCUGCAGAUAACCUGACGAAAGCGCUCUUGUUCCUCUCAAACUUCAUGGGCGACAUCCACAAGCCACUGCAUGUGGGGUCCUCCUCUGAAAAAGAAGGGAACGCCAUCAACGUCCACUGGUAUAGAAGGAAAUCUGCACUCCACCAUAGGCUAGCCUUCAUGCAUGUGUUUGCCGUGAGGUACAUGAUGUUCAAGUCGGAAGAAGCAUAGAUUUCUAGCUCAUUGGAGCUAGUUAUACUGUGAUAGCUAGCUCAUGAUUUGUUCAACGAUUCUUCUUCUGUUAAUAUUUAUCCUGUAAUCUAUCGCCUUGGACCACACUAACAUUUGCUCCAUGAUUCCCUAACUGCUCAACAUGUUGAUCGGUUUUGAACGUCUGAUUUUUUGUGUGUAGGGGGACUUGUGAUGUGGCAUGCCAAGCAACAGCAAGGGGAGGGGGUCUUCGAAAUGUCGCCGCUGUCGCUCAUUGCUAGUGUCACCGAUUGAUGAUGGAUGGUUGCUGUUAGUUUAGCUCCUUGGUAGUACCUCCUUGUCUUUCAGGCGGCUGCUGCUGCUGCUGGUAGAAAUGGUAGCUACAGUCCUAUGUACUUCUUGUGCUCGGAUUGCCCUUUGUUGAAUGUACCUACUGUUGUACCCGUGACUGUUUACGGAAUCCUUUUGUGUUGAAAGAAAUAAAAUUGUCACCCGUGGCUGUUUAAGAUAAA